rfam:Microscilla marina ATCC 23134 1099589004099, whole genome shotgun sequence.
UAGGCGGUUGCCGAAAAGCCUUGAAGAGAGUAGGUA